AUUCCAGCCAUGUGAGGCAAUUGGAUUUUGGAGAGGCAGACAUGUUUUUAUGCUACUAGUUAAUAGUGAAUCUCCCUUUUGGGGGUUGUAGAAGAGCAGCUUCAGGGAGCAGCUGUCUUCUGGGACAAAACUGACAACAGCAACACCAUGAAAAAUCCUGGCCUUUAGUUCUUCAGGGGUUUAGGAAUUAUGUAAAUUAUGGAUACCAUGCAUUAUAUUUUGUUAGUACGCAUAAUCUCAGUCUUUUGAUGGAGUGUUACCCAGGCUGGAGUGCCAUGGUGUGAUCUUGGCUCCCUGCAACCUCUGCCUCCUGAGUUCAAGUGAUUCUAGCGCCUCAGCCUCCCAAGUAGCUAGGAUUACAGGCACCCGCCACCAGACCCAGCUAAUUUUUGUAGUUUUUAGUAGAGCCAAUGGGGUUUCACCACGUUGGCCAGGCUGGUCUCAAACUCCUGACCUCAAAUGAUCUGCCCCCUUAGGCCUACCAAAGUGCUAGAAUUACAGCCAUGAAGCUCUGCACCCAGCCAAUACUAGCAUUUUGAUAAGAAAACUUAUAAUUUAUUUAGGAAUUCAAAGCAUAUAUAAGAACAGAAUAAUCUUGAAGGUCGAAAGAACAACUUUGAAGAACUUUAUCUUAUUUUCAAUUCAAUAUAAUGCCAUAGUAACGAAGACACAGUUACUAUUGGUAGUAUUGGUGCAAUAUUACAUAAAUGGAUCACUGGAAUUGAAUAAAGAGUCCAGAAAUAAAGCUUCAUAUUUAUAUCUAAUUGGUUUUCGACAAAGUUGUCAACUCAAUAAAGAAAGAAAAUUAUUUUUACCAUAUUUUACGGAAG
rnacentral:lncRNA from 10 species